rnacentral:rRNA from 1 species
UACGGAGGGUGCAAGCGUUAUCCGGAUUCACUGGGCUUAAAGGGUGCGUAGGCGGGCAGGUAAGUCAGUGGUGAAAUCUCCGAGCUUAACUCGGAAACUGCCGUUGAUACUAUUUGUCUUGAAUAUUGUGGAGGUAAGCGGAAUAUGUCAUGUAGCGGUGAAAUGCUUAGAUAUGACAUAGGACACCAAUUGCGAAGGCAGCUUACUACACAACGAUUGACGCUGAGGCACGAAAGCGUGGGGAUCAAACAGG